rnacentral:rRNA from 1 species
GCAAGUCGAGCGAGAAAGCACUUCGGUGCGAGUAAAGCGGCGGACGGGUGAGUAACGCGUAGGAAUCUACCCAGUAGUGGGGGACAACUCGAGGAAACUCGAGCUAAUACCGCAUACGCCCUAAGGGGGAAAGCGGGGGAUCUUCGGACCUCGUGCUAUCGGAUGAGCCUGCGUAGGAUUAGCUAGUUGGUGAGGUAAAGGCUCACCAAGGCGACGAUCCUUAGCUGGUCUGAGAGGAUGAUC